rnacentral:rRNA from 1 species
UACGUAGGGUGCGAGCGUUAAUCGGAAUUACUGGGCGUAAAGCGUGCGCAGGCGGUUCGUUGUGUCCGAUGUGAAAGCCCCGGGCUUAACCUGGGAAUGGCAUUGGAAACUGGCGAGCUUGAGUGCGGCAGAGGGGGGUGGAAUUCCGCGUGUAGCAGUGAAAUGCGUAGAUAUGCGGAGGAACACCGAUGGCGAAGGCAAUCCCCUGGGCCUGCACUGACGCUCAUGCACGAAAGCGUGGGGAGCAAACGGG